UACGUAGGGUCCGAGCGUUGUCCGGAGUUACUGGGCGUAAAGCGCGCGCAGGCGGCGGCGCAAGCCUGGCGUGAAAGCCCCCGGCUCAACCGGGGAGGGUCGUCGGGGACUGCGUCGCUUGAGGACGGCAGGGGCCGGUGGAAUGCCCGGUGUAGUGGUGAAAUGCGUAGAGAUCGGGCAGAACCCCCGUGGCGAAGGCGGCCGGCUGGGCCGAUCCUGACGCUGAGGCGCGAAGGCGUGGGGAGCGAACGGG
rnacentral:rRNA from 1 species